GAUGAACGCUGGCGGCGUGCCUAAUACAUGCAAGUCGAGCGAACGGACGAGAAGCUUGCUUCUCUGAUGUUAGCGGCGGACGGGUGAGUAACACGUGGAUAACCUACCUAUAAGACUGGGAUAACUUCGGGAAACCGGAGCUAAUACCGGAUAAUAUUUUGAACCGCAUGGUUCAAAAGUGAAAGACGGUCUUGCUGUCACUUAUAGAUGGAUCCGCGCUGCAUUAUCUAGUUGGUAAGGUAACGGCUUACCAAGGCAACGAUGCAUAGCCGACCAGAGAGGGUGGUCGGCCACACGGGAACUGAGACACGGACCAGACUCCUACGGGAGGCAGCAGUAGGGAAUCUUCCGCAAUGGACGAAAGCCUGACGGAGCAACGCCGCGUGAGUGAUGAAAAUCUUCGGAUCGUAAAACUCUGUUAUUAGGGAAGAACAUAUGUGUAAGUAACUGUACACAUCUUGACGGUACCUAAUCAGAAAGCCACGGCUAACUACGUG
rnacentral:rRNA from 1 species